GGAAAAAUUCCUAAUGGAGAUGUGUUUGUGGGUGUUGAGGAGUGAGUCUUAAAUACUAUUUUGUGACUGUUGAUAUAGAACUUUUUUUUUUCAGCUUUGGAAGGGAGGAAGGCUGAGAGGCUAAAGAGAAAAGAUACUUUCCCAGCUGGGGAGGAAAGGCACAAUGUAAGAAGUAGAGAAUGAGUAAUACAUAUAGAAGCAAGAGAAACAAAAAGAAAAGAGAUCAAAGAUGGAGUUGCUAGAUGGAGGAUGCAGAGAGGUGAGCAGGAUUCUGAGACCAAGCCUCUGAGAGGACUUUGUAGUGUCAUGAAUUUCCCAGUUCUCAAGUUAUUCUAUUGAUAAUGGCAUGAUUUUCUCUCUGUCCAGUUUCACAGAGAGCUCAUUCCAACAAGUCUGCCCAAGUUGGUUAUACAACUGUGAUGUUGAGAGUCUGGUACUAGGGCCUGCUGAAGUGAUGAAAGAGAAUCUUUCCUGUCAAUCUUGUAGACCAGCCUGGAAGACAGAGCAGAGGCAAUUUAACUGGACAAGGGACUCUGGACUGAUUGGAAGCCUGCUCUUCUUUCUUAAGGUGAUCAGUCUGCUAUAGAAGAAAUGGGGUUAACGAACAAGAGUGAGGAAGAACAACACCUCAAGCCCAACAACUCUGAUGUAGCCAAUGAAGAUCAAGAAGAAAUUCAACAAUUAGAAGAGGC